GAUGAACGCUGGCGGCGUGCCUAACACAUGCAAGUCGAGCGAACAGACGAGGAGCUUGCUCCUCUGACGUUAGCGGCGGACGGGUGAGUAACACGUGGAUAACCUACCUAUAAUACUGGGAUAAUUUCGGGAAACCGGAUCUAAUACCGGAUAAUAUAUUGCACCGUAUGGUUCAAUAGUGAAAGACGGUUUUGCUGUCACUUAUAGAUGGAUCCGCGCCGCAUUAGCUAGUUGGUAAGGUAACGGCUUACCAAGGCAACGAUGCGUAGCCGAACUGAGAGGGUGAUCGGCCACACUGGAACUGAGACACGGUCCAGACUCCUACGGGAGGCAGCAGUAGGGAAUCUUCCGCAAUGGGCGAAAGCUUGACGGAGCAAGGCCGCGUGAGUGAUGAAGGUCUUCGGAUCGUAAAACUCUGUUAUUAGGGAAGAACAGAUGUGUAAGUAACUAUGCACGUCUUGACGGUACCUAAUCAGAAAGCCACGGCUAACUACGUG
rnacentral:rRNA from 1 species